rnacentral:rRNA from 1 species
UACGUAGGGUGCAAGCGUUGUCCGGAAUUAUUGGGCGUAAAGAGCUCGUAGGCGGUCUGUCGCGUCUGCUGUGAAAACUCGGGGCUUAACCCCGGGCCUGCAGUGGGUACGGGCAGGCUAGAGUUCGGUAGGGGAGACUGGAAUUCCUGGUGUAGCGGUGAAAUGCGCAGAUAUCAGGAGGAACACCGGUGGCGAAGGCGGGUCUCUGGGCCGAUACUGACGCUGAGGAGCGAAAGCGUGGGGAGCGAACAGG